rnacentral:rRNA from 1 species
GCUCACCUCUUACCAUUCCGAACAGAGUAGUUAAGCCCGUUAGCGCCGAUGGUACUGCGUUUGUGGGAGAGUAGGUCAUCGCCUUUU